rnacentral:rRNA from 1 species
GAUGAACGCUGGCGGCGUGCUUAACACAUGCAAGUCGAACGGAAAGGCCCAAGCUUGCUUGGGUACUCGAGUGGCGAACGGGUGAGUAACACGUGGGUGAUCUGCCCUGCACUUCGGGAUAAGCCUGGGAAACUGGGUCUAAUACCGGAUAGGACCACUUCUUGGAUGUUGUGGUGGAAAGUUUUUUCGGUGUGGGAUGAGCUCGCGGCCUAUCAGCUUGUUGGUGGGGUAAUGGCCUACCAAGGCGUCGACGGGUAGCCGGCCUGAGAGGGUGUACGGCCACAUUGGGACUGAGAGACGGCCCAGACUCCUACGGGAGGCAGCAGUGGGGAAGAUUGCAGAAUGGGCGCAAGCCUGAUGCAGCGACGCCGCGUGGGGGAUGACGGCCUUCGGGUUGUAAACUCCUUGCGCUAGGGACGAAGCGUUUUGUGACGGUACCUGGAGAAGAAGCACCGGCUAACUACGUG